rnacentral:rRNA from 1 species
AGUGAACGCUGGCGGUAGGCCUAACACAUGCAAGUCGAACGGCAGCACAGUAAGAGCUUGCUCUUACGGGUGGCGAGUGGCGGACGGGUGAGGAAUACAUCGGAAUCUACUUUUUCGUGGGGGAUAACGUAGGGAAACUUACGCUAAUACCGCAUACGACCUACGGGUGAAAGCAGGGGAUCUUCGGACCUUGCGCGAUUGAAUGAGCCGAUGUCGGAUUAGCUAGUUGGCGGGGUAAAGGCCCACCAAGGCGACGAUCCGUAGCUGGUCUGAGAGGAUGAUCAGCCACACUGGAACGGAGACACGGUCCAGACUCCUACGGGAGACAGCAGUGGGGAAUAUUGGACAAUGGGCGCAAGCCUGAUCCAGCCAUACCGCGUGGGUGAAGAAGGCCUUCGGGUUGUAAAGCCCUUUUGUUGGGAAAGAAAAGCAGCAGGUUAAUACCCCGCUGUUCUGACGGUACCCAAAGAAUAAGCACCGGCUAACUUCGUG